AAUUGUGGUUGACUUAGCCCAUAAUUUGAUUUAAUUUAAAAGAGUCUAAGUUUAGUAGGAGUCCUAUUUAGAGAAAGAAGUCCUAAAUUUCAGAUUGUAAGAGUCCAACUUUUUCCAACCUCUUACUCUAUAUAAAGAAGGUUGAAGAAUAAGAUUCAGAGUUUGAAGAAAUUUUGUGACCUUUCACAUGAGAGGAGAGAUUCCUUUCUCUUGGUGUGAUGCCAAGUUGGUGGAAGGUUGAAGGUCCAUGGAUUGGUUUGAGAGUGAGAUUCUCUCAUCAUAAUCCUAGUUGUCUCCCCUUAUCCAUAUCUCACGCCAUCAUAGCAAUCUCUUUUCUUCCCUCACGCCAUAGCCAUUCUCACGCGAAAGCCAUAUUUCAUGCCAACACAACCCAUUCCCCAAGCCUAACCAAGAGUCCUAAACCCUUUAGGACUCCUCAUUCCCAUCACGCCAACAAACCCCUCACGCCAAACCCAAUCAAGUUAGGAUCCCAAACCAACUCCAUCCGCCUCUAACCCAAUCAAACAUAAUUCCCAAUUUCAGUCGCCAACCAUUGAACCCAAUUAAACUAAUUAGGCACCCUCAUCAUUUUCUUCCUCUUUUCUCCAUCCACAAAAAACCCUAACCACCACUAACAAAAAAAAGAAAAAAAAGAAGGAAGAAAGCAAUCAGCCGCCAUCCUCAAUCUUCAGCAAUCACCCAUCCUCUACUGCAUCACUGUGGCUAUUUCUCGAGGAUUUCAUUAUUUGUGAGUGCACAUUUGUGAUUUAUUGCAUCGCACAUGGUUUUAUAAAAGCUGAAGAGAAUUUGUUCUCGGAGGAUUUGGUGAAAGGGUUUUAGAAAGAGUUUGCAGAGAAGCCUUCUGCAACCAGAUCUUAGCUUCUAUGGCAAAACAGGUUGUAGGAUGCAUGAGUGGCUCCACCGGGGACGCACAAGGAUUUACAGACAAUAUCAUCUCCACCGCAUCAUCAAUAAAACUACGCUAUUUAUCGAUUGUAGAUGGGGAAUUAGUGGCCAUUCCUGACAUGAUCAUGAAGCAGACAUCCUUGAGGACCUUAGGCUCCUUUCACAGACCACUUGUUUGCAAUCUUCCCAAAGAUAUUUUCGAAAAACUCAGGUGUUUGAGGAUCCUAAAAUUCAAAGAUACAGCCAUUAGCAAUCUACCAACUUCCUUAACAGCUCUUAUACAUUUGAGAUUUCUUAAUCUCACUGGUACUCAAAUAAGAGAAAUACCAGAGAGCAUAGGAAUCUCAAAAACCUGCAAUUCCUGACCCUCGCAGAAUGUAAAUACUUGCACAGCCUCCCUUGCAGUGUCGUACAGCUAACGAAUCUAAGAACACUUUAUCUUGAAGGUACACCACUUGAUGGGAAUAUGGAGAUUGCAGCAUCUAAAUUUAUUUACUGGAUUAAUGGUGAAUAGCAGGAUGGUUGGCAGGAGCACAAGCACAAGGGACAUCACAAACAUGGUUUAUGCACCUUGGAAGAGCUGGAAAUCCCUCUCCCAGCUCAGAUAUCUUACCGCAUUCAAGUUGGAGAGCGUAUCAGACACAGCUGAAGCAAAAGCUGCUUCACUUGUAACCAAACCUCGACUGUCUUCGAUACCUGCAUCUGCACUGCAAACUACCAAGCAAUUCUGAUGUACAUCCUCAUGCAUGCAGUGAAUAAGAGAUCAAGAAGAUUAAGGAGGUCUUCAAGGAGCACUGCCCACUGCCAUAACUAGAAAGCCUUAGCAUCCGUGGUUGCUUUGGCCAUCUGGAUGACGGAACUCUCAUCGUUGCUUCUCAACUUGCAAAGAUUGGGGCUAGAAGAUUGUAUUCAUUGCAAGCAGCUUCCACCCUUUGGAUUGCUACCACAACUAGACUACUUCAAGAUUUCAGGUGCUUCUGCAGUCACAAGCAUUGGAUCUGAAUUAUUGGUGGCUGGAAGCAGUGCUGGUGAAAGGCUCCUACUUCGCCAAGCUAGUGAAACUUUUCUUCAUCGGCAUGCCUAAUUGGGCAGAAUGGUGGUGGCAGUUGGAGGAUAACCAGAUAAUGUUGUUGCUACCUUCUCUUGAGAUAUUGAAGAUUGUUGAGUGUCCCAGUUUGAGGUCCCUUCCAGAUAGGCUCCUUUGCCAUGCCACUGCCUUGAGAGAUCUAUAUAUUAAAGGUGCGCAUAACCUCAGAGAAAUACAAAACCUCCUCUCUGUUACAAAAUUAAGCUUGAUUGACGAUAAAAGUUUGGAAGGAGUAUCAAACAUCCCUGCACUUGAACUUAUACUUGUUAAUGGUUGUGAGGAGUUGGAAGUUUGUGGAGGGUGUUAAUGCACUGGAACACAUCUGUUUUACAUGGCGCUCGAUGAUCAGAAACCAGAGUUCUUUCCACUGUGGCUGGCGGGAGCAGCUGCAGAGUCCUUGGCUCGAGAAGCUGUCCCUUAUAGGAAAAAUUUAUUGCUGAGGGCUCCCUGGGUGACCUGCAAUCUAAUGCUUCAUGUUGAAGCCAUCAGUGAUGAUGAACUGAUUCAGAGCUCUUACAAGAAGGAUUUCUGUCUUCAAGACCAACCUAAACAACAACAGCAGCUGCGUAAGUCUCAAAGCAAAGUUGGUGAAUGAAUAGCAACUCUCAGACAUAAAGGUAAAUGGUUCCUCUUUAUUAUGUUGCCGUUUUACCAUAAAACAGGAGCAUCUUCAGGCAGUUUUGUUAUAUAAUACAUGAUCAGAAGUUCUCUGUGAAGGCUUUAAAUAUGGCAAAUUCUGCUGAGGAAUUGCAGUGAGCAAGGGUAGCACUGGAUGAUCUGCAUAGCAAUUCCUCAAACUGGAUAUGGCUGUGUGAUCAUUAUGGCUUCUUCUCCACCAAUCCCCCUCAGUAGUAGAAGUCACAAGACAUGAUAUUUAAGCAAAAAUCAAGCCUAUAAGGCACUAAUUCAGAAGCAGUCUAAUCUCCGGUGCCAAGACUCCUUUCUUCACCUUCAACACUGAAAUAAGUGAUCGUCAGGGGAAAAUAAGAGUUGCAUUAGCACAUGCAAAAAAGCAAUAUCAAGUGUAAAUUAGUUCUUAGUGCACAAUUACCAUAUUCUAAUAUAUAGAUAUUUUUUUAGGCUCCUUGGUGAACAGGUACCAUCAGAGUUUGACAUUUUAUGAAUGAUAAUUUUGUUCACGCCCUUUUGUUUCUUUUCAGUAUAUUUCAUUUUUCAGCCCACCAGAUCAGUUCCAUUAUAUGUUUCCAACGGCUACUGUGCAGGGCUUUGUAAGACCAGCAUUAUCUGGCACAAGUUUAACUGAUGGUAUUAAUUCUGAAAAAUAUCUGCUAACAGAUAAAUGUUCACAGACAGUUGCCAGUUUUGAAGCUUGCUCGUAAUACUGAAGAGUGAAAUCAAAAAUGAAUUUCAUGGCAUCAGGGGUAUGUGAUGUCAAAGCCUACAUCUGAACAAAACCUUGUUUGUUGGAUAGAAAGAACUUUCUGUCCAUGGAUGUGAUUGGAUGUUUGUUCAUGGUGGAGGUUUUCUCUACUUUGUCAUUCCUUUUCCUUUCAGCUGAACCAAUUUAUGCAGAAGGAUGGAAGAUAAAACAAAACAUGGAAGAAGAUAAGAAAUCUGUAGAAGAUUACGAACAUCCGCAAACUAGAUCAAGUGAUGCUCUUGUUAGUCUUCAAUACACAACCACUAAGCAGAUUCAGUCCUCUAAGACAAUUGCAAGGAAAAUAUAAAUAGAUAGGUAUAUUUUUAUGCAUGCUGUAACCUAAGUGACUUGUUUUCGCCAGUGCCUCAAUUUUCAUACAAGUGUGCAUGCUUAUUUCUGCUGCAAUCUCAUUCCACAUUCUUAGUUUUUUUAAUAUAAAGAACUAUAUGCUACAUAAUAUACAGCAAACAAUUUAUAUUUUUGAGCAAUGCUUGCUUUGUGUCUUUAUUAAGGGGCCCCUAAGGGAAUAAGCAUGCCCAAGCAUAAAUAAGAUUGGUGCUUCGGCUGGCUAAGCCAUCUUGAGUUGGAAUUAACCUAACCUUAAAAUGUUACUCUGCAGCUAAAGCAAGAGUCUGAACUCUUAAAUCAUGCAUCUUCUACGUAAAAAUAAAUUGGUAAGUAAUGGACUACCCCAUUAAUUGCUGAUUAUGAUGACAGCUUUAGUGCAAUCAGGCAAAUCAAUGAACAACCAACGGGUUUAUUUGGUUCCUUGAUCGGUGGUUAGCAAAAUUUCCUUCUCAUAUCCAAUGUUCACAUACAGCAAAAGCACCUCCCAGAAAAUAAUUACCUAAGUUAACAUAUAUUAGAAUUCAAUCAACUUCCCUUCCUAGGGAAAGAGAUUUUUCUGUUAAAUUGAUUUUUAUGUUAAAUUAAUCUGUAAUGCACUUGCAUUUUGCUUGCCAGGCAAUGAAUAUCAGUAAAGGAAAUGGCAAUGCCAAAAUGUCAACACCUCCAGCCAGAUAAAAUGCUUCAGAUGCUCUGUUAGCAGACACAGUAUCAUGCAUGGUCCCUGUAGAAGUUGGACGGAUUUAGAAAAGAAAAGACACAGAAAGAAAGAGAUUCAAACUUCAAAGAUUAGGAACUAGGAGAAAAGAAGAGGAGGAACAAUGGGAAACAGGAAGGCCACACAUAACUGAAAUGAGCAUUGCUGAUAAACAACACAAAAGGUUAUUUUAUUGACCUUUAGCAGUGCAUGGCUCUUAACACUAAUAUGAAUGAUCAGAAAUUCUUCCAAAUAUAUAUGACAACUGCAAAGAAGUAUACUAAAAGAGGAGAAACAAUGGGUAACAGGAAGGCCACAUGUACUGUAGCUGAAAUGAGCAUUUGCAGAUAAACUAUACAAAAGGUUAUAUUGACCUUCAGCGGAACAUGAUUCUUAACACUAA